rnacentral:tRNA from 1 species
GGUGGCUCAGUGGUAGAAUGCUUGCUUCGCAUGCAUGAGGCCCUGGGUUCGAUUCUCAGCACCA